UACGUAGGGUGCGAGCGUUAAUCGGAAUUACUGGGCGUAAAGCGUGCGCAGGCGGUUCGUUGUGUCGGUGGUGAAAGCCCCGGGCUUAACCUGGGAAUGGCCAUGGAAACUGGCGAACUGGAGUGUGGCAGAGGGGGGUGGAAUUCCGCGUGUAGCAGUGAAAUGCGUAGAGAUGCGGAGGAACACCGAUGGCGAAGGCAGCCCCCUGGGCUAACACUGACGCUCAGGCACGAAAGCGUGGGGAUCAAACAGG
rnacentral:rRNA from 1 species